UACUCAGACUUGUAUUUUCAGACACACCCUCAAACACAUAAAUUCAAUGCACUGAGUGAGUGCCGACUGCCGAUUGGAGUCGUGGAGCAGUGGAGGAGAACCAGCGGCGUGGACUGAAAGACCAGUGGCGGCAUGGACUGGACUGAAAAACGACCGACGGCAUGGAGAUCUAAACCGACAGCGUGGACUCAACUAAAAGACGACCGGCGACGUGGAGUUCUGGGAAGUCUGGGAUGAGGAUGGCGAUGAGGCCGGCGCCGGCGUUCGUCUGUGAAGAAAUUAGGUGAGAGGAG
rnacentral:misc_RNA from 1 species